rnacentral:rRNA from 1 species
UACGAAGGGGGCUAGCGUUGCUCGGAUUGACUGGGCGUAAAGGGCGCGUAGGCGGUUCGUACAGUCAGACGUGAAAUUCCUGGGCUCAACCUGGGGGCUGCGUUUGAUACGUGCGGACUUGAGUGCGGAAGAGGGUCGUGGAAUUCCCAGUGUAGAGGUGGAAUUCGUAGAUAUUGGGAAGAACACCGGUGGCGAAGGCGGCGACCUGGUCCGAUACUGACGCUGAGGCGCGAAAGCGUGGGGAGCAAACAGG